CAGCGUUUCAUUAAGUCGUGUAUUCUGGUGAGCUUGGUUUAUUUCGUUACACAUACAUUUUGAAGUGUUUUUGGGCUAAGAAAUCAGACCCUAUAGCCCAAUAGAGCGAACCCUAAUUGUGUUGACCCGAAGAAAUGAACUUUAGGAUUCGUCUCUCUUCUUUGUUCUGCGACGACCUAUGAUCUUCAUCACUAUCUCUGAAGUGGUCCGAGUUAUGAUUUCUUCGUGUUUAAUUCUAUUAAUUCAAUCAACCACAAUGAGGUCUUCAGUGCGGAGUUUACAUCGGUAACUCAGUGUAUUUGCAAGUAUAAAUAUUGUUCCUCCGUUGUCGAGGUUAGGUUGAUGCGGUUCUUGGAGGUUAGAAAUGUCAGGCAUGGUGGAGAACUCAUGUGGGUUGAUGCUCAUGGUGGAUGUGAAUGUCAAUUGGGUUGGCAUGGUUUGGCAAGUGGGUUUGUUCUUGCACGUAGCUUAAGAGUAAAGACGUAUGUUUCAGUUUUGAAUAUCAUUUGUUAAUUCUUCAGGUCAAUUGUUUUGCUUUCUUAAUGACAUAUUGUUGAUGCUUUUCAUAUUUGGACAUAAAUCACUAGACAAGAAGAAUGGCUAAUGAUGUAAGUUUUUAAUGGAGUUCUAGUUUCUUAGAUGAUUUGUGAUUGUUUUUUUCUGUUAGUUUAGUUUGUUUGUCUAUUGAUAAGAAUUUUUAUUUAGAGCUGGACCGACGAAGAAUCUCGGUAUUUUCUUACUCUUUAUGCCGAUGAGAAAAAGAAAAGGAACAUAACAAAGAGUGGCAUAAAUCAAGUUGGAAGAGAGUUCACCCCUAAGAACUUUGAAGAGAAAUUUAGUAAGAUAUGGUUAUGGGACAUGUUUAAGAACAAGAUUGAUGUUUGUAGAAAAGCAUACGUCAAAUUUAAAAAGCUGACUCACAACAAAACCGGGCUUGUCUAUGAUGUUAUGGGAAGGUUGGAGAUGCCAGAUGCUUGGUGGGAUCAACGCAUAGCGGUAACUAACUUUCCUUUUCAUUUUGUGGAACGUGAGCAUGCAUCGUUCUCUUAGUCUUAUUGCUUUAAUAAUGUGAGUAUAUUAGCUUGAUUAUGUCUUGAGAAUGUAGUACAUGAGCAUGCAUUGUUCUCUUAGUCGUAUUGCUUUAUUAAUAGCGUUAUGAUAUUCUUCGCAUGAAUCAGAAAACAUUUCAAGAUUUGUGUAAGAUGUUAGUGAGGAGGUAUGAGUUACAAGAGACGAGUAAUGUCUACAUUAAAAAAGGGGUUGAGAUGUUUCUUGAAGUUGUGGCCGGUCAAGAUAAGACUAUGCGGAUUAUAGCAGAAAGAUAUCAACGUUCGUUUGAUACUGUCAAAAGGAAACUUGAUGAGGUUUUGAGUGUUCUCCUGAAAUUUGAUUCAAAUACACUAAAACCAGAAGAUGGUGAGUUCACAAGAGUAUGUCCUGCUUUGAGAAAUGAUGAUCGAUAUAGGUCAUUUUUCAAGAUUGUAUUCGACCAUUGGAUGAAACUCAUAUCUCAGUUCACCCUCCUAAGCGAAAUGCAGAAGCAUACAUGGAUAGAAAGCAGGAGCCGACUAUGAAUGUCCUUGCUAUAUGUAACUUUGAUAUGAAGUUCAUAUACGCUUACGUGGAUGUACCGGGUAGAGAACAUGACACAAAUGUGUUGACUUAUUGUGCGAGGAAUGAGCUUUUUUUCCACAUCCGCCAAAUGGAAAAUAUUAUUUGGUUGAUAUUGGAUAUCCCACAAGAACAUGGUAUAUUGGUCUGUAUCGUAGAGUUCGGUAUCAUCUUGAUCAAUUCAACAAAGAGGACCGCCAACGAACACUCGAGAGGUGUUUAACCGGAUGAAGUUGUGUAGUGAUUGAGCGGACACUUGGAGUGUGGAAAGCAAAAUGGAGAAUUCUUGACCGUAGGCAUCCAAAGUAUGGUUUGACCAAAUGGAUAAAGCUAGUAACAUAACCGAUGGCACUACACAACUUCAGAAGAAGAUGAUGGUGAUGGACAUGGUGGACAUAUUCUAUAUGAACCGACUGGUGAUAGAGCUAUGGAUGGUGUACGUGAUCAUCUUACUAGUGAAUUGAGUAAAGGAUAUCAAUUACCUUACUAGUUUAUUUGAUUUAGUUUUCUACUGAUUUUUAUUUUUAGUUUUAUAACAAUUGACUUUUAGUUUUUAAACAUUGAUUUUAUGUUUGUUGACAAAAAAAAAUUAUGUUAUGUUUAUUGAUAUAGUUUUAUUAAAGAUUUAUAAAUUAAAAAUUAAAAUUGAGCAACUAAAAAUGAAUUUCCAAAAAGAUUUAAAUAAAUGAUUAAAUUGUAAAUAUUUGGUCUCAAGCGACAAUGAAACGAACAACGUAGCGAGAUGCGAUCAACCACACGACAUGAAAACGAACAACUCAGCGAGCGAAAACUGCUGCGAUCAAACGCGCGACCUUCAAACGAACAACUAUCAGCGACAUCAAGUCGCAGCCGCUGUGUCGCUGACGCUGGCGAUCACUGCGAUCACCAAACCAACAGGGCAGUAGUCAUUUUAUUAGAUUCAACGUAGCCGUUUUUUUAUCUCACAAA